rnacentral:tRNA from 1 species
GGUUAUAGCUCAUUGGUAGAGCGCUUGCCUAGCAUGUGUGAGGCACUGGGUUCAAUUCUCAGCACCA